UGAGCAAUCUGCCCUUCUCAUCGGAAUAAGCGUUGGAAACGACGUCUAAUGCCGAAUACGACCUCCUUUCGCAUGAUCGGAGGUGGAAAGCUCCGGCGGAGAAGGAUGAGCUCGCGGCCUAUCAGCUAGUUGGUGUGGGUAAUGGCCCACCAAGGAGACGACGGGUAGCCGGCCUGGAGAGGGUGACCCGGCCACACGUGGGACUGAGACACGGCCCAGACCUCCGUACGGGAGCAG
rnacentral:rRNA from 1 species